rnacentral:rRNA from 1 species
GACGGGGGGGGCAAGUGUUCUUCGGAAUGACUGGGCGUAAAGGGCACGUAGGCGGUGAAUCGGGUUGAAAGUGAAAGUCGCCAAAAACUGGCGGAAUGCUCUCGAAACCAAUUCACUUGGGUGAGACAGAGGAGAGUGGAAUUUCGUGUGUAGGGGUGAAAUCCGCAAAUCUACGAAGGAAGGCCAAAAGCGAAGGCAGCUCUCUGGGUCCCUACCGACGCUGGGGUGCGAAAGCGUGGGGAGCAAACAGG